UACGGAGGGUGCAAGCGUUAUCCGGAUUCACUGGGCUUAAAGGGCGCGUAGGCGGGCAGGUAAGUCAGUGGUGAAAUCUUUGGGCUUAACCCGAAAACUGCCAUUGAUACUAUCUGUCUUGAAUGCGGUGGAGGUGAGCGGAAUAUGUCAUGUAGCGGUGAAAUGCUUAGAUAUGACAUAGAACACCGAUUGCGAAGGCAGCUCGCUGCACCUGCAUUGACUCUGAGGCACGAAAGCGUGGGGAUCAAACAGG
rnacentral:rRNA from 1 species